CUUAAAGGAAUUGACGGGGGCCCGCACAAGCGGAGGAGCAUGUGGUUUAAUUCGAUGAUACGCGAGGAACCUUACCAGGGCUUAAAUGGGAGACGACAGUUUGGGAAACCAGAUUUUCUUCGGACGUCUUUCAAGGUGCUGCAUGGUUGUCGUCAGCUCGUGCCGUGAGGUGUCAGGUUAAGUCCUAUAACGAGCGCAACCCCUAUUGUUAGUUGCCAGCGGGUCAUGCCGGGAACUCUAACAAGACUGCCGGUGCAAACCGUGAGGAAGGUGGGGAUGACGUCAAAUCAUCACGGCCCUUACGUCCUGGGCUACACACGUGCUACAAUGGACGGUACAGAGAGCAGCCACUGCGCAAGCAGGAGCGAAUCUUCAAAGCCGUUCUCAGUUCGGAUCGGAGUCUGCAACUCGACUCCGUGAAGCUGGAUUCGCUAGUAAUCGCAUAUCAGCCAUGAUGCGGUGAAUACGUUCCCGGGCCUUGUACACACCGCCCGUCAAGCCAUGGAAGCUGGGGGGUACCUGAAGUCGGU
rnacentral:rRNA from 1 species